rnacentral:rRNA from 1 species
GUGUCAGCAGCCGCGGUAAUACGAAGGGGGCUAGCGUUGCUCGGAAUUACUGGGCGUAAAGGGAGCGUAGGCGGACAGCUAAGUCAGAGGUGAAAGCCCAGGGCUCAACCCUGGAAUUGCCUUUGAUACUGGCUAUCUUGAGUAUGGGAGAGGUGUGUGGAACUCCGAGUGUAGAGGUGAAAUUCGUAGAUAUUCGGAAGAACACCAGUGGCGAAGGCGACACACUGGCCCAUUACUGACGCUGAGGCUCGAAAGCGUGGGGAGCAAACAGGAUUAGAUACCCCGGUAGUCC